rnacentral:rRNA from 1 species
CUAGCCGUAAACGAUGCUCACUAGGUGUUGCCGGCAUUAACCCCGGCAGUGCUGUUCUGCUAACGCGCUAAGUGAGCCGCCUGGGGAGUACGGCCGCAAGGCUGAAACUCAAAGGAAUUGACGGGGGCCCGCACAAGCGGUGGAGCAUGUGGGUUAAUUGGAUGCUACGCCAAGAACCUUACCAGGGCUUGACAUGUUGGGGCCCGCGUGAGAGAUCACGUUUUCUCCGCAAGGAGACCCCAUCACAGGUGG